UACGUAGGGUGCAAGCGUUAAUCGGAAUUACUGGGCGUAAAGGGUGCGUAGGCGGGUCUUUAAGUCAGGGGUGAAAUCCUGGAGUUCAACUCCAGAACUGCCUUUGAUACUGAGGAUCUUGAGUUCGGGAGAGGUGAGUGGAACUGCGAGUGUAGAGGUGAAAUUCGUAGAUAUUCGCAAGAACACCAGUGGCGAAGGCGGCUCACUGGCCCGAUACUGACGCUGAGGCACGAAAGCGUGGGGAGCAAACAGG
rnacentral:rRNA from 1 species